rnacentral:rRNA from 1 species
UGGAUCCAGACUUUGCAUCCUGGCUCAGGACGAACGCUGGCGGCGUGCUUAACACAUGCAAGUCGAACGAGAAGAGAUGAGAAGCUUGCUUCUUAUCGAUUCGAGUGGCAAACGGGUGAGUAACGCGUAAGCAACCUGCCCUCUAGAUGGGGACAACAGCUGGAAACGGCUGCUAAUACCGAAUACGUCCUUUCUGCCGCAUGGCAGAAGGAAGAAAGGGAGGCUCUUCGGAGCUUUCGCUGGAGGAGGGGCUUGCGUCUGAUUAGCUAGUUGGAGGGGUAACGGCCCACCAAGGCGACGAUCAGUAGCCGGUCUGAGAGGAUGAACGGCCACAUUGGGACUGAGACAUGGCCCAGACUCCUACGGGAGGCAGCAGUGGGGAAUCUUCCGCAAUGGACGAAAGUCUGACGGAGCAACGCCGCGUGAACGAUGACGGCCUUCGGGUUGUAAAGUUCUGUUAUACGGGACGAAUGGUACGACGGCCAAUACCCGUCGUAAGUGACGGUACCGUAAGAG